rnacentral:rRNA from 1 species
CCUACGGGCGGCAGCAGUGAGGAAUUUUGGUCAAUGGGCGCGAGCCUGAACCAGCCAAGUCGCGUGAAGGAAGACGGUCCUAUGGGUUGUAAACCUCUUUUGUCGGGGAGCAAAAGACGCCACGCGUGGCGUUCCGCGAGUACCCGAUGAAUAAGCAUCGGCUAACUCCGUGCCAGCAGCCGCGGUAAUACGGAGGAUGCGAGCGUUAUCCGGAUUUAUUGGGUUUAAGGGGUGCGCAGGCGGAAGAUCAAGUCAGCGGUAAAAUUGAGAGGCUCAACCUCAUCGUGCCGUUGAAACUGGUUUUCUUGAGUGAGUGAGAGGUAUGCGGAAUGCGUGGUGUAGCGGUGAAAUGCAUAGAUAUCACGCAGAACUCCGAUUGCGAAGGCAGCAUACCGGCGCUCAACUGACGCUCAUGCACGAAAGUGUGGGUAUCGAACAGGAUUAGAUACCCUUGUAGUC